rfam:Dipodomys ordii contig_59725, whole genome shotgun sequence.
AAUGCUUUGCUGAAGCUGGUAAAAUGGAACCAAAUCGACCAUUGGAUGGAUUUGGUCCCCUUCAACCAGCUGUAGCUGUGCAUUGAU